UGGAUAAUUUUUCUUUAUUUUAUUCUUUUUUGGCGUUCCCUCUGUAAAAAGUUUUAAUAAAUCAAUAUUCAAUUGAAAUAAAAAAAUAUACAAUAAGAUAAUAUUAUUUGCAUAUUAAAUAUAUACGAUGAUGAUGACAAAAUAAAAUAAAAUAAAAUAAAAUAAUUAAAUACAAGGUUUGUUUUAUUUAAACAUUGAUAUCUGAAAUAUUUUAUUUAAGUAGAAAAAAUAAAUGAAUUAUGUUCAUUUUUGUAACUUUAUAAAAGUAAAUAGAAUAGAAUUAAGCUUGAUGUUAUAUAUAUUUGAUAAUCUUAUUGUAGUGUAAACGAGCAUAUUUGUGUAUACUUAUGACUCCUUUCAUUUAAACUUGUGAUUGUUAGAGAACGAUAGAUAUGAUUAUUUAAUAUGUUUAACCCUCACAGAAAGAUUUUCGAAAUCCAUUUUCGUUCCAUACUAAACCAAACUAUUUCAAAAGUGUAACCUGAUAGAGAGAUUUAUCAAAGGUGACACUUGAGAUACUAAUAUACGGAAAAAAAAUAUCACAUGUAUAUUAAUAUAUCUAUUUAUUUAUUACCAUUAGUUAUUAAAAUUUUAAAGUUUAUAUUAAUUAAGUUGACCGACUAAAAUUCAAAAAAUAUAUUAAUUAAUUCAACCGAUACAAAUGCACAACGCUACAUGUCACGAUUGUUGAAAUCCCACUCUGAUUCUUGAAAUCCCAUUUGUGGUUACUCUGGUUCGCGAUAUACCGAGCUCAGAAGGCAAACUAAUACCACUACAAAAUUGAUUUUAUGACCUACAAAAUUAAAAUUUCCAAGAUUGGCAUCUGAAUUUUCAGAUCAAAAUCUUCCGAAUGUUUAGAUAUUCACACCAAAGCGACCAAAGAUAUUUAAAAAAUUCCCACCAUAGAUUCUUGAAAUCCCAUUUGUGGUUACUCUGGUUCGCGAUAUACCGAGCUCAGAAGGCAAACUAAUACCACUACAAAAUUGAUUUUAGGACCUAUAAAAUUAAAAUUUCCAAGAUUGGCAUCUGAAUUUUCAGAUCAAAAUAUUCCGAAUGUUUAGAUAUUCACACUAAAGCGACCAAAGAUAUUUAAAAAAUUCCCACCAUAGAUUCUUGAAAUCCCAUUUGUGGUUACUCUGGUUCGCAAUAUACCGAGCUCAGAAGGCAAACUAAUACCACUACAAAAUUAAUUUUAAGACCUACAAAAUUAAAAUUUCCAAGAUUGACAUCUGAAUUUUCAGAUCAAAAUCUUCCGAAUGUUUAGAUAUUCACACCAAAGCGACCAAAGAUAUUU
rnacentral:lncRNA from 1 species